AGGACGAACGCUGGCGGCGUGCUUAACACAUGCAAGUCGAGCGGAAAGGCCCUUCGGGGUACUCGAGCGGCGAACGGGUGAGUAACACGUGAGCAAUCUGCCCUUAGCUUCGGGAUAGCUCCGGGAAACCGGAAUUAAUACCGGAUAUGACUAUGGCUGACAUCAGCCACGGUGGUAAAGUUUUUCGGCUAGGGAUGAGCUCGCGGCCUAUCAGCUAGUUGGUGGGGUAACGCCUACCAAGGCGACGACGGGUA
rnacentral:rRNA from 1 species